rnacentral:misc_RNA from 1 species
CAAACAUUUCAGUUACAGGAGGCAGUGAUGUGAUUGGAUGUUAUUUAACUAUGAACUUAUGUCUCCAUGGGCAGUCAAAAGAAUCAAAUUCUUUAUUGCCUGCUUUUGAGUUAGAAAGUAGAAGGUUUGUCUCCAUGAAAACAAUCAUAUGCCAUAACUGAUCUUAGAUACUAUUCACAUUAGUUUGUCUUUGCAUCUUGGUUGCUGUCUGGAGUCUGGACUGUGUGGGGAUUUAACAAACAUUUCAGUUACAGGAGUAUACAUUUAAUUAGGAAUUAUUUCUGCAAGUUUAAUCAAAUUUGAUGCUAUGGAAGCAUAGUUUAGGCAGAGAAAUAAGCUAUUAUAAACUUCUCUUGCACAUAUUUUUCUUUCAUUUUUCUUGUCUUGUUUUGAAAUACUUUUGGUAUCCAAGUCAUCAUGUUCUAGUCCAUAGAGUCCUUUAUUGUUAAUCUCCAUCCUCUACAAGUCAGCUUCUUAUGUGGUUCAAUGCCCCUGAAUAUUUUGUUAUAGGUCCUUUUUUUUUUUAGUCAGUGUUCAACAAUUAGAACAAUACUAUUAGUUUUUGAAAAACUAACUCAGCAAAUUAGUGUGGAAUCAAGCAUGCUUGUUAUGUUAGGUUCUUUGAGUUGUCUACGCUCUACAGCAACUGGAUUGUUUCUCAGGGCAAGGCUAAGGAGCAAUAGCCUAUUAGAUUUUGGUUUGGGGAUGUUAUAGAAACAAAAAGACCUAACUGGCUUAAGGGGGGAAGUGUUAAUAAAAUAUGUAGAUAUUUGUAAUCUACCUAGCUGAGAGGAGAAGUUGUUUUAUUUCUGCUAUGUGGGAAAAUGUAUCUUUGCUGCUGCUACUGUUCACCACUAGUCAUACAUCCAGGAUGCUGUGUGGUUAGCAGCCUUCGCAGUAAUUGUGAGGACUUGAGGAUAUGCUCUUAAUUUUUGAUAAUUUACUGGCAUUAUCUCUGAGGUUUACUGUGUUCAUUUUUUUUUCAAAGUUAUAUGUUGUCUUAUCUUUCCAUCCAUGAGCAUUGACUGCUGUCAUAUUUGACUUUAUGCUAUAUCAUCCUUGAUUUUCCAGGUAUUUUAGAGAGAAUGAUGA